GUUGGGUGUGAGGUAGUUUAAGAGGAGGGUAAAUAAGAGCUAUCCUAGUCGUAAAGGUGGCCUAGAGCGGGGGGACCUCAAUGGUCAUAGAGAGAAGCGAAUGGAUUCAAGAAGUUCGGGGGCUUGUGUUUGCCGGAGUGAAGGACUCCAGCCGGCUGCUUUCACCGUGUCAUGGUCUCCGUCUUCAAGGAGCAGACGUGAUACUGGAGAAGAACAUCUCUUGCCAUUUUAAAGCCUUUGGAGAACAGAGAGUAAUAAAAUCUUGCCUGGAAGAUGUUUGUGAACUCCUCCAGAGGACAUGGCCGCCUUCUCUGAGCCUCCUCCAUAAUCAACUUUAUCCAAAACGUGCAGAAGUCCGUGUCUUACCUUUCCCCAGUUCAAGGAAGCUGGAAGUGUUACAAAGAACCUGGAAUUUCCAGUGCAAGCCUUGGAUUUACAGAUCUGAGAAGAUAAUCUGGGGGAAGAAUGGACUGAAUGAAGAAUGGGGUCUUUUAACUAUUUUUUUUUAACGGGAAGGGAGUCAAAGAUUCUUUGGAGUACCCAGAACGAUAGAAUGGCCCUGGAGUCAGUCAGACCUGGGUUCAAAUCCUGCCUCCGACUUUUGCCAGGUGUGUGAACUUGGCUAGUCCCCAACUUCUCUGAGCCUCCAUUUUCCCAUCUGUAAAAUGGAGAUCGUAAGAGGUGCCAUUCCAAGAGGCGGUUGCGAAGCUUGAAGAAGAGAUUACACGUCAAGUGUUUGGCACACUAUUUUUGUUACUGCUAGAGUGAUUGUUAUCAUUCUCAUCAAAGGAAUAAUAAUUGCCAUAAGAACAAUCUUAAAAUUAUUAUUAUUAGUGUCGUUACUACUCUUGCCAUUUGGCAGUUGAUGAAACUGAGACCCAGAGAAGCUGGAUUGAGCCCCUCACUCCUCAAGCCCUGAUCCACAUAAAGCCCUUUCCACUUUCCUCAGAGGCCGAUGCAGCAGCUGGUGAAGAGAAUGAACUGGGCACACAGACGUGUGUGUGAACCUUGGCUCUUCCAGAAGCCCACUAGCUGGCUGCCCUUGGGAAGGACACCUGGAUUCUGAGCCUCAGUCUCCUUGCCUGUAGAAUGGGAAUAAUAGUGCUCCCCACCUUGAGGGGCUUUCUGUGAAGAUGGAACGAGACGGUGCUUGUGAAGGACUCAGAACAUGCCUGACACUGACCAAAUUCUUAAUUAAUGGUCGGGGGGGAGGUGCUCAUGGUCCUUCUUUCUCCUUUUUCUUCUUCCUCCUUUUCUUCCUCCUCCUCUUCCUCCUUCCUGCUAUCAUUGCUGUUGUUGGUAGAGGUGAUGAUGUUGCUAUCUCUUGGCAAAUUAAUGGACUUGAUUUGGAGUGAGGCAUGUUCAAUUUAGGAGAGGAACCCAAAUCCAUUCCCAAGUGAUGCUGUGCUAUUUCUGAGACAAUCUUAAAAAUCUACAUUUGUGUGUGUGUGUGUGUGUGUGUGUGUGUGUGUGUGUGUGUGUGGAACCCCUGGCCUUCCCCUGGGAGCCCUCGACAGGUGCCAGGUUGGAGUAGGAAAUGCGAAGUCAGCCAGCACAGGAUCCACGUGAGAGCCCCGCCUCCUCUAAGCUGGGUGGCCUUCAGCAAGUUCCGCAUCCUCUUAGACUCAGAUUUCUUAUCCAUAAAAUACCCAAUAGAGUGAUACUGGGAAGAUUAAAUGAGGCGAUGCCUUGAGUCCAGGUCCUGGUCUCUAUGGAAAUGCAUAGUCUGGGCCUGUCUGGUGUUCUGGCACAUUGCAGAUGCUUAACAAUUAGUUUCUCUUCUCACCUUAAGGGCUGGUAAAUUUGGAUUUGGAUCGAGUUCAGUCACUUCUGUCUUGGACUGUGGACCAUUUUGCCCUUAGAUUGAAGCUCCACUGCUCCAGACUGCUGUGUGCUCGGGGGUCAGAAAGAUGUGGUUCAAAGCCUUGCUAUCUGUGCCACUUCGUGAGCUGUUUACGUAAUCUUUCUGCUCCUGUGUCUUCCUCUGUAAAACGGAGCCAUUAACAUGUUCCUUUCAGCAUUGUCGUGCCGAUUAAAUUAGAUAAUGCGGUUGUGCCUGGGACCUACCCUUAGUGAAGGGAGAACCAAUGCCAAAUGAGGCCAUUAAUGAUAUCCAGGAAGAAGCACAUCUCUGUGGCCAUUUGAUGAAAAUGCUCAGAACAUUUUAGUGAUGCUGAAACGUUAAUUCAAUAGGCAGAGCUGCCCCAUCCGCCUCCAUUCUAUGGCUCCAGGCUGGAUGCAUUUGCACGCUUAGAUUUUGGCUCGUGAGUCCUGCUGCCUGGUGCACGUUGCGGGGUGUGAAUAUGAGCCUAAUUAUGAAGGAGUGAGUGUCGCAUGUCCCUGUGAUCAUGGCAGGGUUUGAUGCCUGGGAUCCCUGUGGUCUGAUGGAGACGGUGUUUGGAGACGAAUGUUAGAUUUGCAAGGAGAGUGCCAGGGACGUCGGCCAGUGUUACAGCUUGAUUGUAAAUUCACCGCAGAGCUCCUCGUUGCUGUUCUGAAAAUGGCAUCGCUCCUCUCUGUCUGGCAGGAGUGGAGGUGUCGUUAGUGUGGUUUACCAAAUAUUUCCAACUUUCCAGUCCUCUGCUGGGCUUACAUUGCCCUGUCUAAGGUUAGAUGUGGACGUGUGACCUGUGACGGUCCCAUUGAACCCCCGUGGCACAAAUGAGGAAGCAGAGUUUGUUAUGUCCCUCUGAGAUGUUGGGUUUGCUUGUUACUUCAGUGUAACUGACGGACCCUGACCCAUGCACUUGAGGGACGUGUGUGAGAUCCACAACGGUGGGGACCCUGCCUGAUUUUGUUCACGGUCUUAUUCCCAGGGCCUAGCACAGUGCCUGACACAUAUAAGCAGCUGAUAAAUACUUGUUGAAGAAUGAAAGAAAGGUCUCGGAUCCACAUACCUAAGUUUGCUCCUGGCUUUGCCACUUGUCAGCUCUGUGAACUCUGGAACUCACUUAACUUUUGUAAGCCUUAAAUUUCCUCAUCCUUGGAAUGGGACUGUCAUUCCUUGCCAUGUUACUAUAGGAUUUAUUCUGAUAAUGGGAAAGUCUCUGGCACAU
rnacentral:lncRNA from 1 species